GACGAACGCUGGCGGCGUGCUUAACACAUGCAAGUCGAACGGAAAGGCCCUGCUUUUGUGGGGUUCUCGAUUGGCGAAGGGGUGAGGAACACGUGAGUAACCGGCCCUUGACUUUCGGGGAACUUCACGAAACUGGGGCUAAUACCGUAUAGGAUCUCCUGCUGCAUGGUGGGGAGUGGAAAGUUGCGGCUUUUGGGGCUGGACUCGCGGCUUAUCAGCUUGUUGGUGGGGUAGUUGAUGACCAAGGCUUUGACGGGUAGGCGGCCCGAGAGGGUGACCGGCGACCUUGGGCCUGCGAUACGCAGCAGACGCCUAUGGGAGGUAGUAGUGGGAAAUCUUGCCCAAUGGGCCGGAGUCUGAUGAAGAAACGCCCGGUGCGGGAUGACGGCUUUUGGGUUAUAAACAGCUUUCGCCUGUGACGCCGCGUGAGUGACGGUACCGGAUAAAGAAGCACCGGCUAACUACGUG
rnacentral:rRNA from 1 species